rnacentral:rRNA from 1 species
UACGGGAGGCAGCAGUGGGGAAUAUUGCACAAUGGGCGCAAGCCUGAUGCAGCCAUGCCGCGUGUAUGAAGAAGGCCUUCGGGUUGUAAAGUACUUUCAGUCGUGAGGAAGGUGUUAAGGUUAAUAACCUUAGCAAUUGACGUUAGCGACAGAAGAAGCACCGGCUAACUCCGUGCCAGCAGCCGCGGUAAUACGGAGGGUGCGAGCGUUAAUCGGAAUUACUGGGCUAAAGGGCACGCAGGCGGUUAAUUAAGUUGGAUGUGAAUCCCCGGGCUUAACCUGGGAAUGGCAUUCAAGACUGGUUAGCUAGAGUCUUGUAGAGGGGGUAGAAUUCCAUGUGUAGCGGUGAAAUGCGUAGAGAUGUGGAGGAAUACCGGUGGCGAAGGCGGCCCCUGGGACAAAGACUGACGCUCAUGUGCGAAAGCGUGGGGAGCAAACAGGAUUAGAUACC